rnacentral:rRNA from 1 species
UACGAAGGGGACUAGCGUUGUUCGGAUUUACUGGGCGUAAAGCGCGCGUAGGCGGAUCGCUAAGUCAGGGGUGAAAUCCCAGGGCUCAACCCUGGAACUGCCUUUGAUACUGACGGUCUGGAGAUCGGGAGAGGUUGGUGGAAUUCCGAGUGUAGAGGUGAAAUUCGUAGAUAUUAGGAAGAACACCCGUGGCGAAGGCGGCUCUCUGGGACGGUACUGACGCUGAGACGCGGAAAGCGUGGGGAGCGAACAGG